GGGUCAGAGCAGGGCAUCAGGGUAAGAACAAGCACCUGGGGGCAGUUGUGCCUCCUGUGAAGGUGUCAGGUGUAGCCCUGAUUUCUCGUAAUAGGGCUGCAGUAAGCACAAGGUGAUAAAGCAGGAAGAGAGGGCAUAGCCUAUUUUUGCCUCCGAUGCCCGUCCUCAGAGCAACAUCUUCUUCAGCCCCCUUGCAACUCGGGGAUAAUCCCUCACCUGACGGCUGCCUCUAUACGUUAUUUGCUUGGAGAACUCUCGCAGGCCUCGUUGGAACAGAUGGGGAUUUGGAGUGUGACAAGAUUUUGGCUGCCGAACUAAAGCAAAGGUUGGGAUCUUCUCAGCUCCACGAAGGGCUGGAACGUCGGUGGCCUUGCUGGGGCGUGGAGGGAGCGAGCACUGCUGGUAGGGAGGAGAGGAUGAGCAGCAUAAUGCCUCGGGCAGGGGAAGGAAGCAUCUGGCCUGGCCUCUGUCGUCACACCAAGCUAAAUGUUGGGGUGGAUGUUGGGGUUUUGGGGCUGAGGUGGCUGGUGGCAAGGUGCAGGGCAGAUUGCUUUUUGCUUGCUCUCCUGGUCCUGCCCGUGAGGAAAGUCAUUAACUGCAAGCGUGAACUCUGAGAUGAGUAAAAAUCAAAGAUGACCCAAGUGCCUGGAGGCAUAAAAACAGCUACUGAAUUGUUCAGCUUGUUUAAUGAAAUGGAGCAGCGCGCAGACACAGUUCACAUACAGAUGUACGGACGUGAAUACAACACCAGCGGCUCUCAAACAUUGCACAGAGAUGGCUGCAGAUCCCCAAAUGGGGAAGCCUGGCUGCCGUCAGCUGUUCAGAAGAGAUUUGGGGUAAAAAAAAUCCCAUCAGAAACCUGCCCUUGCUAUAGUGCAGCACCAGCAGAAUGGAAAGGAGCCCUGGGCACGCUGUGUAGCCUGUGGGUCUGGUGCAUGUCAGCAAGGUGCCUGGCCUGCCAGCUCCUGGGGUCUGCCUGCAGUGCUGCUGGCCUGAUCGAGCCUCCUGGUGCUAUCUCGGGCUCACCGCCUGCUUUCCGCAUCAGAGAGGGGUGCGAGAGACUCCUGGCACCAUCCCAGGCUGCCUGACCUUUGCUGUGCUCGGCACUAAUCGUCGCCUUGCCCUGAGUCACAACUUCCCGUAACAUCGGAGGGAAAAUCCCUGUCCCCUGCCGUACCUGCAGGACGGGCAGGGCUAUGAGCCAGGUCUGCUGCAGUUUGCUCCUGCUUCCUAAAUCCGUGUUUCCAUACAUAUACAUGAGACCUCUCCCCGUGCUGUCCCAUCAUAUCUCUUCCCAACUCCAGUGGCUCCCAGGACAAGACGAAAUGCCAGCACUGAACUAUAUUUGAUGCUCAUGACUGUAACACCAGGUUUGGAUGCUGGUGCAGGUUCCUAGGUCCUUAAUUUCCCCUUUAAUUGAUUUUUCUAGUGCAUUUGAUGAAUAAAUAGGUGCUCACUAGCAAGCUGAAAUACCAUUUGCAAUCUUGGGCUUGGAACAGGGCCUUAAUGUUGCCAUUAUUUGUGUUUACAGCAGUCCUGAGGAGCUCGGGGAGGUGGAGUACGUGCAAAUGUUAAAAUGGUCGGGGCCCAGAGGCGUGCAGCAGCGCCAGCCCAGGCUGUGUUCAGAGAAACAACCCGGGUGUGUGCCUGGCUGUAAGCAUGAAUGAUCCCAUUGACUUCACGUUGGCUACGGAUGCGGCCGGAGCUGAAUGUGCGUUGUGUUUGUGGGGAAAGAUGAUCCAGAAGGAGCUGGCUGCUCAGGAGGGCGGCGGGGGCUGGAAUUGGUGUGGGUCUGCAGGAGGGGGAAGGCAGAAAAGGGCUGCCCUGGUGGUGGGAGCUGCCAGCGCUUCCUGGGCUCCUGCUUCAGGCAGGUGCUGCGAUCCCCAGCAGCAUCCUGCCCCGGCUGGUCGAGCAAUUUGAGCCUCUCGGUUUACAAGUACCACGUUUGUGCGGGCAGAGUGAUGCGAUUACAGGUUCGCAUCAAUUUGUGUGAAGCUGGCAGCAUCCUCAGCAAAUAUUUUUGUCCCUCCAGCUUCUAAAUGGCAUCGCUGUUAGCAGCAAUGCAUCACCAUUAGCAGUGGGACUUCAGAGGACACGUGAGCAAAGCGUGAUAUUGCUUCAACCUCUGGAAGUGCGGUGUGAUAAUUAAUCAGGCACGGGUUCAUCACUUGGAUUUUGGUUACACUUCUUCAGCGAGCUGUCCCCUCCGUGGCUGGGACAGCCACAAGCUCUGGCUUUGUGCCGCAGCACCAGGUAGGGAGAGGUCGGUGCCAGCCCAGAGACACCAAACAUCCAGCCCAAAGCUGCAGACCCUCAGCCCUCCCUUGCCCAGACCUUGCUGAUUUCUGGGUCCUGUCCCUGUGAGGGAAGCUGUGCUGGCUGCGGCGCUCCCUCCACUGCUGUGCUCAUGUAUUGGUAAGGGCCGGAGCUGGCAGCAGGGCAGGGCAGCAGCAGAACGCAUUUGUCUUGCUGUCCGGCGAGCCACGUAACAAAUAGCAAUGCCAAGUGUAAUCCUGCCUCGGUUAAAACUGUUGCUUUGGUUUGUCAUCGUUCAUUGUUCGGAAUACAGCUGCUUAAUGACAGGAUGUGGGAAAUGAAGUUUAUGUCCUCGUAGGCUUUAAAAUAAAAAUUCCUGAACAAUGGAGGGGAAGGACACGCACAGAGCCUGCCUGCGCGCUGAGCCGCAGCUCCAGAGACAGAGCUUUUGCUCUUGGCUUUAAAAAUAACCUGCAGUGUAAACCCGGGCAGCAUCCAUGCCUCGGCUCUGCUUACAGUGCAUGGCCACUGCAGCUGCCUCUGCCCCACACCUUCCUAUCUGUUUGAUAAGAAGAAAUGGAAAAUAAAAGACAAAUGCCAUGGACCUGCACGGGGACGCUGCUGCUUUGCACGCACCCCUUGAUCAAUUCGGCUAGCAAAUGAUCAGGAGGGGAAGGGAAGGAAUUGGCCAUAAAGACUGGGAGCAAGUGGGACACGGGCAGAGGAGACUUUAAGCAGGCCAUGGUGCAGGGCCCCCCUUGGCGUGCUCGCGGCUCAUCCCUGGCGGUGCAGGCGGGCGCGUGAUCUUUGCUCCCGGUGGGAACGCUUUCAUCAGGGUGCGCGGCCCAUUAGCAGGCGCAGCCCUUGAAGAACCACCAAGGGCUGGGAUGCGGCCAACAGAUCUGCAUAAUUGCCGGCCCAUCCCAUGCUUCAUUCUGCCUCUAGAAAUAUUCUCCCUCCUCCUCUACAUACGUUUAUUAAUCCCUGUCCUGAACUGUGUGAAAUCAGUGAGGAAUUUGCCUGAGGUUCCUCUCCGCCAGCACUGGCCCAGGGCUUCUCAGCAGCGUAAGCAAAAUUAAAGGAGGUUCUGGGGCUGGGAUGAAACCACCCUGGCUUGUCAGAGGGAGGAAGAGAGGAGUCACGGUGCUGAACUUGCUGCCCUUGGUGCAGUGAGGAUGGAGGAGCUGCUGAACCUCCCAGCGGUGGAUUUCCCACAUCCCUGGGAUUUUCCAUGUCUUAAAAUCUCAGCUAAAUGUCCCCUUUUUAGGAUUAUUUGAUAUAUUCCUACAGUCAUUUUUUAACAGCAGAUCGUUGCCAUGCUCCUUGCCACUCUCGUGGUCCCAAAGUUGCUCUCUAUUUUUUGUAUCCCUUGCAAAUUUCUAUUUCCAACAAGCCUACUGUUAUCUCACUUUUGCUAUUUUAAGUUCAGUGGCACAAAAAGGCUGACUCACAGAAAGCCGUGUUGUAGGAAAUAUUGGCUCAGCUGAGGAAAUAAUUCUCAGUUCAUUCUUCCACCAUGUGCUUUAGGUUUUUUCUGUCCUUUUUUUUUUUUUUCCCUGUCUGUUGGUCUCAUGUUAUGCCACACAUCUAGCUAGCACUGUGAAAGAUGGAGAGCUAUUUCUAAUACACACAGCACUGGUCUACAAAGUCAAAUGUCUCUUUCUAUAUAUACCCUGGAGUGUUUUAUGUACCUGCUAGGAAUGUUACACAGAAUGCUCACACAGCUCAUAAAAUUUGGUCUUGUAUUGGAAAUGUUUUGUGGAAAUAUGCUGCUUAAUCUACUGCAGCAAUUCACAGUUAAUGUUGUCACAGUGCGCACUGGAGGUUGUGAAUGAAGAUUACGACUGGCUCAGUGGAGUUUGAUACGUUAUCACAAGUCCUCAAGAAUAAAGCUGAAAGCUGUGGUUGUUCUAGAAAAUGCAGGUAAUUGGCCAAAAAAAGGGGGACAGCCAGGAGGCCCAGGCAAAGUCGUCCUUCUGGUUGGGCUUAUGUUGAUCCUGGGCUCUGCUGAGUACCUGCAAACCCUGCCUCAAAGCUAAGGGACUGUAUAAAAGAAAGCAUGAACCAUGCCAGGGUGUGCUUUAACUGAGUGUUAAGCACAUCAGUGAAAGAUGGGGCUGAAGAUCUAGGAUUAAGUCACAUCUCAGUAGGGUGCGAGGGGGAGGAGGUUUUUUAAAAAAAAAAAAAAAAAAAGCUACACAACCUCUAUUUACUUCACAAGGACUUUCAUCGCUGUAGCAAGUUGUCUAAUAAACUGCAGGGUGUGCUUUAGCCCUGCCACGUAGUUCAUUCAUUUUAGGUGUAAUCUACCAGAAAAUAAUGUUGAAUGUCUUCUAGAUACAGAUAUGGCAGCUAUCUACAGGAAAGCAGUUGAUACCAAUAAUAUAAGAAAAACAAGGGACUUCUGGAAGUACCUAUUGAUAAUUUUUUUCUAAAUCUUUUUGACACUAUCAUUAGCAAAACCUAAUUAGAAGGUGGUUUUCAACAAUUGCUGUCCUCCGGAUAUUAAAAUAUAGCCCUCGGAUAAAUAAUAUCAUCUUUAAAAUACUUUGUAAUAAACACUAAUUUACCCUCCCAAUUUUCUUGUGAGAUAGAUAAUUAUGUGUUAACAAUAAUAUCAUCAUCAUUAGUAGCCGCGUUAGUCCUCUCUUUUUGUAGAUGGAGGCUCAUGCACUGAUAAUAAACAGCUUGCUGAAGGCCACAUGAGGAGUCUUUCAGGACUCUGAUUAGAGAGCAAACAGUCCUGGCUCCCAGUCCUCUGCUCGCACGGAGAAGGAGAACAAUGUUGGUAUAAUGAGAGAAAAGCAGGGGCUUAAAUAUCACCGAGAAAGAGGAAUCCUCCUCAGAUUGGCUUGCCAGGAAAUAUUAAAGUAUUAUGUGACAGAGAUAAAGGUAAAUAUCUAAUAGAUUUUGCACCUUUUGUACUUGUACUUUUAUUUAGUAAUUAUACCAAGUAAUGCAGAUAAUGUUAUGAAUCACGAUGGCACUUAAAAUGCUGAAUUUUUGCAACCACAUCCUGGCCCCGUGAGAUAAUCCAUUUUGAUCUUGAGCUGCAGCCAGGUAUGUCUUGCUUGAAACUUCACAGGAGUGUGAUAGCUGCCAGCGCCGCACCCUUUUUCGUAAUGUUGUUAAAAUAAAACAUGUUUGGAUUUGCUCAGCCAUUGUAGGAUGCAAGAUCAGAGUUCCAGCUCUGCCGUGAACGCAGCCUUGCCAUGACCAUGUAGUUAACAGGGCCUUCUGUAGCAAUUCUGAGAGGUAAAAUUUUUGCCAUUUUAAGAAAUGUGGUUAUUUACACAUUUAACUGUAAAACUGAAAAAAAAAAAAAAAUAAAAUCCUUUGAGAGCAAUAAAAACCGCCACAUAAAUGCUUUGCUGUGCCCCAAUCUCAGCUCAGGACCUACAGGAGCGUCGAGGCAGUGUGACCUUGUGUUAUGGGGCUGCUCACAGAGCACUUGUUUUACCGCAGCCCGCCUGCUGUCACGGCACCCAUCCCUCUGAGCAGCUGCUGGUAGCUUUUCAAGGCAGAAAAGGGAAAUUGCUUGCAUGCAAUAUUGGACCCAUGCCAGGACCAGUGGUUUGUGCCCACCACAGCUCUGUAGGACACAGAAGUUGCCUCUUCCACACCUCGUAGCACCAUGGUUCCACAGCAGCACUGAACAGGCUCUAAGCAGUGUAGCUCAUGUGAAAUUUCUGGAAAAAGCUGCUUCAUGGACCUCGCAGUUCCUCUGCUGUGUGAAUGAGAGAACAUUCCCCUGGUCGGGCCCUUCCUCUGCUCUUGCCAUUUACUCCAGGCAGCAGAAGUGCCUGGGAUUGAUGCAGGUAAGCAUCAGUGAGACCUUUCUGUGAUCAAAUCUUCUGUCUUACAAAGAUCUACAACAUAUUUGUGUCUGAUGCAUUUAAAGCAACUGAGGGAAAUAAGUAAUGCUUCAGUGCACUAAUCACCAGCAUUGCAUUUUUUUACAAUUUAUAUCAACUACUAGUCAAUUUGUACACCAACUUAGUGGCAUAAGAUGCUCCCAGCCUGCCCUCUUCUGUGAUCACUGGAAGAAGCUGCAGAAAGAAUAAAACCAGUGCUUUCCGAGUGGGGAGCUUCCAUUUUCUCUCCACAUGCACCGUCCCUCCUCCACCCUGCCUGCCCACGGUGGGACCAGCUCAGUUCUUCUA